rnacentral:SRP_RNA from 1 species
CCGUGCUAGGUGGGGAAUUAGCGGUGCCCUGUAACUUGCAAUCCGCUCUAGCAAGACUGAACUCCUUUAUCCGAGGCUGUCCGCAUGUAGGGUCUGCCUUUUGCACGUAGUGUUGACGUCUGGGUCCUGCGCAAUGGGAACCCAUGAAUCAUGUCAGGUCCGGAAGGAAGCAGCAUUAAGUGGACUCUCUCAUGUGCCGCGGGGUAGCCUAGACCGAGCCAACGACAAGAGUAACGCUUAUGUGCGGCAGUCGAAGAAAGGUGCACGG